ACAAUGAUACUUUUGCCCGGCCACAUUCCGAGCGUUAAAAGCGUCGCAGGCAAUGGGGGGUAGCUCGGCUAGAAAAGCGGAGAGGUGAAAUUCCUAUG
rnacentral:ncRNA from 1 species